UACGUAGGGGGCAAGCGUUGUCCGGAUUUAUUGGGCGUAAAGAGCGUGUAGGCGGCCAGGUAGGUCAGCUGUGAAAACUCGAGGCUCAACCUCGAGAUGUCGGCUGAAACCAUCUGGCUAGAGUCCGGAAGAGGAGAAUGGAAUUCCCGGUGUAGCGGUGAAAUGCGCAGAUAUCGGGAAGAACACCCGUGGCGAAGGCGGUUCUCUGGACAAUUCCUGACACUGAGGCACGAAAGCUAGGGGAGCAAACAGG
rnacentral:rRNA from 1 species